CAGCCUCCAUCUGACUGUUCUCGUUCGGCUCGGUUCGGGGAUUCCCCCAACGGACGGAAAACCCCCAAGGAGUGGAAGACGACGCAAAGAAGAACUGGUUCUUCCAUCCGUGAAUGGACGAUGGAAGACCAGUAAUGAAGGAGAGCCCUUUCCGAGGAACAAAGUACCACCACCCUCGGGCUUUAGGGUGGGGUCGGAGGACGAAGAAGACUCGAAAAAGGGAGAUCCGAGGUUCGGUCGGCAAAAACCGACACAAGAGUGCAAAACUGACUAUCAGCCGAACC
rnacentral:lncRNA from 1 species